CUGAGGUGGAGCCCGCCCGCCGUUCGCCCCUGCCCUUGCCCUUGCCCCGGCCCGGGCCGCGGCUGUGCCGGCAGCCGGCGGGGAGCGGGCCGGGGCUGUGAGCCGGGCCGGGCCGAGCCGGGCCAGCCUCCAGCCUUCCCUCAGGGCAGCCGGACCGCCGUCCUGCCGCGGGAGCCGGAGGCUGGCCCGGGGGGAGCGGGCAGGGCCGGCCGGCUCCCGGAGGCGCUCGGCGGGCUGUGCUCCCGCUGCCCGGCGCCGGGACUUGUUGCACGGCGGCCGUGAGAGGGGAUCGCCCGUGCCCGGUGCGGCUGCCCCGACCCCGGCACCGCCGCCCUCGCUGCCCCUCAGCAGCCCGCCGGCCCCGAGCGUCCCAGGAGCGCUGCCCGAGCCGCGGAGUAGCGGCGGCGAGGGGCCGGGGUGGGACCCUUUCUGAACUCUGCUUUCACCGGGAGGCUGCCGAGCUCUCCCACUCCCGCUGGGAACUGAGAGAGCCUUUCCUAUGGUUCCUGUGGUGGACAGAGAUAUCUCAGCCCUGAAAAAGAAAGCAAGAGUCCUUCCAAAAGUAGAGGGAAGAGCUCUCUCCCACCUCCAGCUUUUUGCUGCAGGUUCUAUCAAAGCUGUUUCCAGGGCCAUUUGGACAAAAAGUAUUUCAGUUUCCAAAAGCCUCCCAUGUCAAGAUAAGAUGAACUGUGCCCUGAAAAUGCCUACUUCCCUCCUUGGAGUAUAAAAAGGAUCUGGAGAAUUCA